rnacentral:rRNA from 1 species
GUCUGCCUCGAUUUUUUUAUCGUUGGCCUCAGAUCAGGGAGGAUCACCCGCCRAAUUUAA